rnacentral:rRNA from 1 species
UACGAAGGGGGCUAGCGUUGCUCGGAAUCACUGGGCGUAAAGGGUGCGUAGGCGGGUCUUUAAGUCAGGGGUGAAAUCCUGGAGCUCAACUCCAGAACUGCCUUUGAUACUGAGGAUCUUGAGUUCGGGAGAGGUGAGUGGAACUGCGAGUGUAGAGGUGAAAUUCGUAGAUAUUCGCAAGAACACCAGUGGCGAAGGCGGCUCACUGGCCCGAUACUGACGCUGGGGAGCGAAAGCGUGGGGAGCAAACAGG